rnacentral:rRNA from 1 species
CCUACGGGAGGCAGCAGUAGGGAAUCUUUCACAAUGGGCGAAAGCCUGAUGGAGCAACGCCGCGUGCAGGAUGAAGGCCUUCGGGUUGUAAACUGCUUUUAUAAGCGAGAAAUAUGAUGGUAACUUAUGAAUAAGGAUCGGCUAACUACGUGCCAGCAGCCGCGGUCAUAUGUAGGAUCCGAGCAUUAUCCGGAGUGACUGGGUUUAAAGGGUGCGUAGGCUGUGGGGUAAGUCAGCGGUGAAAUGCCCCCGCUCAACGGGGUGAAGUGCCAUUGAUACUGCCUUGCUGGAAUGCGGAUGCCGUGGGAGGAAUGUGUGGUGUAGCGGUGAAAUGCAUAGAGAUCACACAGAACACCGAUUGCGAAGGCAUCUCACGAAUCCGCGAUUGACGCUGAUGCACGAAAGCGUGGGUAUCAAACAGGAUUAGAUACCCCUGUAGUC